rnacentral:rRNA from 1 species
UACGUAGGGUGCAAGCGUUAAUCGGAAUUACUGGGCGUAAAGCGUGCGCAGGCGGUUGUGCAAGACAGAUGUGAAAUCCCCGGGCUCAACCUGGGAAUUGCAUUUGUGACUGCACGGCUAGGGUGUGUCAGAGGGGGGUAGAAUUCCACGUGUAGCAGUGAAAUGCGUAGAGAUGUGGAGGAAUACCGAUGGCGAAGGCAGCCCCCUGGGAUAACACUGACGCUCAUGCACGAAAGCGGUGGGGAGCAAACAGG